rnacentral:lncRNA from 1 species
CUGGCGGCUAGGAGGAGGCGGCGCAACUCCGGCCUGCAGGCUCCCAUGGCGGCGGCGUGGCGGAAGGGCGCAGAGGCGAGUGGCUGGGGGUGGGGGACGACUACGCUGGGAGGUGCGGGGGGGGUCCUCCGUUGCGGGAGGGGGGGCGCUCUGCGCAUGCCCAUUCCUGACCGCGCGCUUUCUCCUCAGGCCUCUGCGCGGGCCCUGAGGGGCGCCUGGGGGCCGCUGGGCGCGGGGCGCGGCUUCCGGAGCAGCGCCGCCGUGGAGAAGUGCCAAGCGGGCCGCGUCCGGCCUCGGAAGGGGAACCAGCCGGUGACGUACCAGGACCCGGUGGCUCUCCCUGCACACCGGCAACCUGGACGAGGAGACGGAUGCGGCUGA